rnacentral:sRNA from 1 species
GCUGGGCACGGUGGUGCACACCUAUAAUCCUGGUGGCUUGGAGGCUGAGAAAGGAGGAUCACGAGUUCAAAGCUAGCCUCAGCAAAAGCAAGGCACUAAGCAACUCAGUGAUACCCUGUCUCUA